rnacentral:lncRNA from 1 species
GGUGGUGAUGGCGCCAACCCAGGCAACAACAAGUGGGAGCAGAAGCAGGUGCAGAUCAAGAACCUGGAGGGCAAGUUUUUGGUCACCAUGUAGUCCUCAGAGAAAAAAAAAAAAAAGAUAUUGACUUUGAUACCUCAACAGUGGUUGAAGAACUGGCCAUUGAAGAGAACCUGCCUCCUGAUUUUCAAAGUAUAUGACAGGAAAGAAACUUCCUCCUGGAGGAAUACCUGGCAGUAACCUCUCAAAUCCUAAACAAUCGGCAUAACUUGCUGGAAUGAAGCCAAGAAAAAUUAAAUAAGAUGAUGCCCCAAGAACAACAGCUUGCCUCAUAAAGGGAGCACGAAGAUGUUCUUGGAUAACUCUGCCAUGAGAAAACAUCUGCACAGCCACAGUCCCAGAGUCCUCGUCUGUGAAGAACACGGCAAAGCUCUUGUUGAGAGCUCAAGACCAGAACAACACCAACCAGUCUGUGCUGGAGAGAAGCUCUUUCAUGGCACAUGGUGGGUCUGUGGGAAAUGCUUUUUAUUGGACUUCAAUUUGUGCACGUGUGUGUGAAUCCAUACCAGAGACAGGACCCAUGUGUGCCCCUUCCGUGGUUGUAAUAAAAGCUCAGACAACUAACCUGAAAUCUUACAUCUUAACACACACCAAGGACAAAAACAAUCAGU